UACGUAGGAGGCAAGCGUUGUCCGGAAUUACUGGGCGUAAAGCGCGUGUAGGUGGUGGGACAAGUCUGCUGUGAAAGCCCCGGGCUCAACCCGGGAAGUGCACUCGAAACUGUGAGGCUAGAGUAUCGGAGAGGUUGGUGGAAUUCUCGGUGUAGAGGUGAAAUUCGUAGAUAUCGAGAGGAACACCGGUGGCGAAGGCGGCCAACUGGACGAAUACUGACGCUGAGACUCGAAAGCGUGGGGAGCAAACAGG
rnacentral:rRNA from 1 species